GCCAAAACCCCUAACUGGGCAGGUGCAGGAAGAGACUGGCACCGGAUGCAAUAACAGACCUUUGUUUUUCCUUCUAACCUACUCAGAAUCUAGCAGCUCUGAACUACAACAGAAGCCUUCUGUUAGGUCAGUCUCCUGGAGGCCAGAUUGUCACCUUAGGAGUCUGUCUGAGAGCUGCCCACCUGUGUCCUGACUGAGCUGCUACUUCCUAACAGCCAGCUCUGCUACCCAUCACCAAGUGGUGCCCUGCCUGACUUCCAACACACUGUGGGUCACUAGAGUUGAAUGGGAAAGAGCAGAGACUGGGGAAGAGGGCACAGCUAGCAACAAGACAUGUCAUCACCCUGUUCUUGCUCAUCUCUGGGUACUGUGUGCUUCAGGAAGCCCAAACAAGGGUGAAGUUCAGCUGAAGUGUCUAACCAGCCUCCUCUCUGAUAUGCAAAAUUAUGAUGACUUGGAAAGCUCAAAGAGAAGUGUCUGGAAUCAGAAUUGCUUGGUGGAAAGGCAAAGCAGGAGGACCCACAUUGGAUUAUAAACCUCUCUGGAAGAAAAUCUUACUCAGGAGGCAAACAGACUUCUUCCCAUGAACACUAGGCUAGAAACAACCCAUUAAACCCAUCAAGUGGAGAAUAGGAAAUGAGAAAGAAGACAAUGGACUCUACAUAGAAAACAUCUAUCUACAAACAUGAGUAAGUGUUUCAAUAAUUGCUGAAGAACAACAAGCCAAUGAAUGCUGCAGGCGAACUGACCUGGGAAAGCUUCCUCUUGGCCAACAUGGAAAUAGGAGGUUCAGAUUGGUGGAGGAAAAGAGGGACACCUCACACUUGCCCAGCAUGAUCAGCAGUAAAAAACACCAUAUGGAGAAGUUCAUGAUCAGGGGAGAGGAAGGCAGCUGCCUGGAGCCCUAUCCAUCAUCCACAUUCAGGUUCCCACGAUCAAUGCCACAGUCAGUCAUUGGCCAUCCUUGAAACACCAGAAUCAUUAUGAACAAACACCAGAGACUCACAGAUUGAAUUCCUCUUACUGCUCCAGAGGCCAGCAAUGCCAAACAUACAGGAUGCACAAAAAUUGCUUUAUGAGGUGGGUACUUGAACAUGGAUCAGGUCACUUACUGUUGCCCUAAAUAAGUCCUAAGACAAAUGAAAUAGCUCUUAUUUAGCUGUUUCCCUGUUGAAGGGGCCUCCCCUGCACAUAAUGUUAGGUUUAUAAGCUGACCAGCUUGUCCAGAAAUUAGGAAUUUCAAACCCCUACAAAUCUGGUGGUAUGAUGGAACUGUCCAGGGACUCUGGGUCCCCUCAGACCUUAUCAAUCUUUUUGGGCUAGCCCAUGGUAGCCCUUCUUCACUACCCAUCCUUUUAAAGAGGGCUCUAGUGUUCUCUUCCCAAUGUUGCUUCCCAAGGCUCUUAUAUGUCAAUUGUUCAUUCUUUACUGUGAAUUAACACAUGCAGGAGUCUCAUAGUCUACAUUCCUGCGAAGAUCACCACACAUGUACAUUUCCUCUGAUGCUCUUCUGCCAUGUUUCCAGUUGUCCAUUUUGCCUUUCUAGGUCUAGGGUCAGUUUGAUCUGUGUACAGUUUACCUGGUUUCUAUAGCAACCAUAUCUGGUUUGUCUCUCUCUCUCUCCUGUGUGUGUGUGCAUGUGUGUAUGUAUAAGCAUGAUGAGUGUGUGUCUGUGUCUGUGUGUGUGCAGAUUCACAUGCAAAGGCCAGAUGUGAACUUCUGGUAUCUUUUUCUAUUACUCCCUACUCUAUUCCCUUGAGACAGGGUUUCUCACUGAACCUGGAGCUUGCUGACAUUAGCCUGAUCAUUCCUCCUCUCUACAUAUCUCACAUACAAUAACACUGGGGUUAUGGGUAAAUAUGGACAUGCCUGUCUUUUCAUAUACAUGCUGCAAAUCCAAACUCAGGUAUUUGGACUUUUCUUUAAAAGGAAUUGUGUCACAUAUCUAAGGGUUUUAUCAUACUUCAUCCUAACAUGUUAACCAAUCUUAUACAUAGUUCAUGGAAGUCCUUGAGAUUAUGAUGUUAGAGAGAAAUCAAUCUGGAUUUUGAGUCCUAGCUCUGCCCUACUGCAGUCACUGAGCCCAGGAAACCAACAUUUGAAUUACUCUCUGGCAUGUCCCACUUAUUACUUCCAACCUUGGUAGCCUCAGUAUACAGAUGAGAAUAAUGAAUCUCAGAGACGUUGGGUAGCAUGUCUGCACAAACACAGCAUCCAGGGACACUUACACUUAAGCUGUCAGAACCCCCAGGAAAGCUCUUAGUUAUUAAGUGUUGCAGAGUUUCAAUAAAAGGAAGAUUAAAUAUGGCAAGACUGUUUAGGACAACCUCCUAAUGCUCCAAAUUUUAUUCUACUGGUAACAAGAUCCUUAUAGAAAUUAUUAUUAUUAUUUUGUUACAAUCUGCCCAGAACAUCAAAACAAAAAGCAUCUUUGGCCCUCAGAGACUCCAGGGUUACUGGGUCUUGUGGCAGUCUUGUGCUCUCCUAUCCUAAUAUCUCUGGUUGGCUUCACGAUAUGGUAACACACCCCCACCCCUCCUUCAGUAAAUAUUUUAUCUUUCACAAACAGCUGGGAGGAGAGAGGUACACUGGCAGCAGGCUGGGUCAAUCCUGUUUAAAUAUUGAUCACAAACAUGGUUAAAAUAAAAGUUUAUCGACUCAGCUGGCGACUCUGCAGCUUCAACACUCUGCAGAACAGCUUUCCCUGUGUGGUGACUCCACACAACUCACUUGAGUUAUGAUGUUAAUAAGUGAGGCCCCUCCUUGGGGAGUAUAGUGAUGUCCUGGAGGCAGCUUCAGGAAGAAAGCGGCCUUCUGCUGGAGCCAUUGCCAAGACCAAUAUCUCCUGUUCUGAAAGGACAGCCUUGGGGAUGCUUCCCUUUCAGCUAGCACACUUCUUCCUAAGACUAUGAACCUGCAUCUCCUGUGACCUUGAGAACAGGGAGUAAAGUGAAGAGUAGAGAGACCUAUAAGGGGCAUGACAUCAGUGGGUGAUUCUCUUCUCCUGGGGCUUUUCGACCAAAUAUUAACGUCUAUCAGAAUCCUCAGAGGACUCUUGGCAAUUAAGACCCAUAGCCCACCCUGGGGUCACUAGCAUGGAGCUCCAGGGUAGGGUGGUUUAUUUAACUGAGUGCAUCUACUCUUGUGGAAUAUACCCACCCCCCAAUAUGUAGAAAGUCAUCAGUUAAAAAAAACUGCUCUGAUUUCAGGUACUAGAGCAUAUUGGAACAGGUAGGCUAGGGCUUUUACACCCCUGAUGAAGUCCCUGGCAACUUAAAUUCCACAUGAAAACUUAGGAGAGUGGUUGAUAGCUCUGGCCUGGUUGCUUCAAUUAGAAGACCAAGUCAGGAGACCCACUGCUCCUCAGCACUACCCUAGGCCUCUGAAAAUGAUGGCUUGAAAGCUACAAUACAAUAAAAGUGUCUUUUCCUCACCAACAUGGUAGUGAAGCUCCAACUAGAGGUUGGAGCAUAUAUGUAUAUGUUCAUCUAUAAAAAUAUGUUCAACUAGAACAUAACAGCUAGAGAUACGUUCACCUGUAGGAGCCUAGGUGGGAGCCUACUUUUCCCCUUGAGGAUAGCUGUAACAUCUAACAGGUGAUACAUGACCACUUCUGAAGUAAUGGGAGGCUGCCUUUGGCAAAAAACUCAGCCUGGUGUAAGUCCUAGCAGAGAAUCUGCAUCUUUAAUCUCAUGAGAGCUGGAGAAACGUCAUCCAGAGCUUUCCAAGCAUUCUGCCAACAGAGUUUACUCCAGCCUAUCCCAGCUGUGUCCUCUAGACAGAACAGGCUAUGGGAGGAGUGUACAAGGAAGGAUUGGUGAUGUAGCGACAGAGGAUUUAGGGGAAACAGAUGACAGGCUGACCCAGCCAGGAUUGAUUGGGUGUAUUCUUCCAUGUGUAUUAAAGCUUUUUGUACCUUCAUGUUAGUCAUGAUUAAAGGACUUAGCUUCCUUCCCAGUGGCAGACAUGCUGGAGAGGAUCUUGAGAAAGCAGCUAAUUCUACAGGAGGAAAAAGUAUGUCCCUGCCCUAGGGCCUUUGCAUUUCCCUUCAGUUUGUACCAUUCUUCCAGAGAUCUAUAUGACUCUGUUCUUCCAGUAAAACCUCUAGCUAAACAUCUUUCCUAAGCCUCCCAGCUAAAAAGGCACCCCCACACUUUCUGAAGCUCUGUGUCUACUAUUCUUCCACUCUCUCCCUUGUAACACUUGUCAGCACUUGACAUUUUGUUCAGCUUUGUAUUCCAAUGCAUCUCAGUCUGUCUCCUGGAGGCAUCUACAUUCCAUAUAAAUGGGUUUGCUUGCCAUCUUCUGUACUGUGUCUUGAGGGUCUCAUCUCCAUUAUGCACACCACAGGUGCU
rnacentral:lncRNA from 1 species